rnacentral:rRNA from 1 species
ACGUAGGGGGCAAGCGUUGUCCGGAUUCACUGGGUGUAAAGGGCGCGCAGGCGGGUUAACAAGUCAGAGGUGAAAUCCUACAGCUUAACUGUAGAACUGCCUUUGAUACUUUCAUUCUUGAGUUCGGGAGAGAGAGACGGAAUUCCAGGUGUAGUGGUGAAAUACGUAGAUAUCUGGAAGAACACCAGUUGCGAAGGCGGUCUCUUGGUCCGAUACUGACGCUCAGGCGCGAAAGCGUGGGGAGCAAACAG